rnacentral:rRNA from 1 species
UACGUAGGGCGCAAGCGUUGUCCGGAAUUAUUGGGCGUAAAGCGCGUGUAGGCGGCUUAGCAAGUCGGGCGUGAAAGCCCUCGGCUCAACCGAGGAAGUGCACCCGAAACUGCUGAGCUUGAGUGCCGGAGAGGAUGGCGGAAUACCCCAAGUAGAGGUGAAAUUCGUAGAUAUGGGGUGGAACACCGGUGGCGAAGGCGGCCAUCUGGACGGUAACUGACGCUGAGACGCGAAAGCGUGGGGAGCAAACAGG